UUGGGAAGUCCAUCAGACAAGCCUCUAGCAAAUCCGGGCUGAGUUUGAACACGAACUUUGACAGCCUCAAAUGGGCAGAGAGCAACAUCAGCAAUAACUUCAGCAGAAGCAGAACCAGCAAGGUAAAUCAAAGUUUUGUACUUGACAGCAUUCUCCGCGCCAGCAAGAUCUGAGUAGUACUUCUUGAAAUAUUCAUAGAAUCCGUAUUUGCAUGCUCCUUGUGCACUGUAACCAAGGAAAGUAGGUG